rnacentral:lncRNA from 1 species
GGACGAAGCACAUUGACCAACAGACAGUUCAAUCAUGACCAAAUCCAAUAAAGAAGUCUUCCAGAAAGCAAUUGCAAAUCAGGAAGAUGUUAUCAGAAGAAAGGGAUCCUGGGCUGGCACCAUAAAGGAUUUGUGCCUUGCUUUUUUCAGGUUAAGACAGCAGGGACUUGCCACGGAGACUCUAAAGUCUGUUCCUCCAACCUUUCCCAUUGCAGUGAGAGCAAUAAUUUCCCUGACCCUAUAAAAGGCAUGCAAAGUGUAUCCAGGUCAAGAGCUUGGGUAACAUCAACACUGUGAAAUGUGGGGACAGAUAUCUUGGUGGAAAAAGCACUGAGACUUCUGUUUCCAUCAGCAAAGAAGACUAAACACCAAGGGAAACAACUAAACUAUCUGAAUAAAAUAUCCCUUAAAAUGCAUUGCUUAGUAGGCAAUUUUUUAAAAUUUUUUAAAAUCCACAGAGGCCCAAAAUGAAAUGAAAUCAGGAAUUCUUAGAAAUGAGCAAGCCGUAAUUGCCCUGAGGGUAGCUGCCAAUCCCGAAGGCUCAGCACUGUUUUGUAGGCUUUUUGAGGUACAAGAGACAAGAAAUACGCAUCGAGGGCCUGUUCAAGGUGGAGACCACACAAGAAGACUAUACAAAACUUGGGAUUUCCA